rnacentral:snoRNA from 1 species
GCAUGGACGAAUUCUGUUCCAGCUGUUCUGUGGUGGAUACAGUCAGACACCAUGCAAUAGCCAGGUCUCAUUUCUGCUAAAUGAGUGUGAGUGCUUCCCUCGGCCUCAUCCAACUGUGCAGGAAUGAGUACAAAU